UACGUAGGGGGCAAGCGUUGUCCGGAAUCAUUGGGCGUAAAGAGCGUGUAGGCGGCCCGGUCAGUCCGCCGUGAAAGUCCAGGGCUCAACCCUGGAAUGCCGGUGGAUACUGCCGGGCUGGAGUCCGGAAGAGGCGAGUGGAAUUCCUGGUGUAGCGGUGAAAUGCGCAGAUAUCGGGAAGAACACCCGUGGCGAAGGCGGCUCUCUGGGACGGUACUGACGCUGAGACGCGAAAGCGUGGGGAGCGAACAGG
rnacentral:rRNA from 1 species